rnacentral:rRNA from 1 species
GGCCUUUUGUUUAUAAUUUAAGGUCUAACCUGCCCUAUGAAAUUUUAAAUGGCCGCGGUAUUUUGACCGUGCAAAGGUAGCAUAAUAAUUAGUUUCUUAAUUAGAAGCUGGAAUGAAUGGUUGAAUGAAAAAAUUACUGUCUCUUUCUUAAUAAAUAAAAUUUUAUUUUUGAGUAAAAAAGCUUAAAUAUCAUUAAAAGACGAGAAGACCCUAUAGAGUUUUAUAUUUAAAUUUAUUUAUGGUUAUUAGAAUCUUAAAGAUAAAUAAAUUUAUUUAUUUGGUUGGGGCGAUUAAAAAAUUUAUUAAACUUUUUUUCUUUUUUUACAUUUAUUUAUGAAUAGUUGAUCCAUUGUUAAUGAUUAAAAGAAAAAAUUACCUUAGGGAUAACAGCGUAAUUUUUCUGGAGAGUUCAUAUUGAAAGAAUAGUUUGCGACCUCGAUGUUGGAUUAAAAUUAAAUUCUGGUGCAGAAGCUAGAAGUUUAGGUCUGUUCGACCUUUAAAAUUU